rnacentral:SRP_RNA from 1 species
GCCGGGUGUGGUGGCGCACACCUGUAAUCCGAGCUACUCAGGAGGCGGAGGCAGGAGAAUUGCUUGAACCCCGGAGACGGAGGUUGCGGUGAGCCGUAAUCAGGCCACUGCACCCAGCCUGGGCAACAGAGUAAGACCCUGUCUCAA